rnacentral:rRNA from 1 species
UACGAAGGGUGCAAACGUUAUUCGGAAUCACUGGGCGUAAAGGGUGCGUAGACGGUUUAUUAAGUUCGUUGUUAAAGGCUCCGGCCCAACCGGAGUAUUGCGAUGAAAACUGGUAAACUAGAGGAUGAGAGAGAGAAGUGGAAUUCCCGGAGUAGCGGUGAAAUGCGCAGAUAUCAGGAGGAACACCGAUGGCGAAGGCAGGUCUCUGGGCCACUACUGACGCUGAGAAGCGAAAGCAUGGGGAGCGAACAGG